CACACACACACACACACACACACACCAUUUAUUGAGGUUUUCUUAUGAGGGUGGAACCGACCAUAUUUGUGCAGGAAAUAACGGGAUCAUGCAUCUUAAAAUGCCUGACAUGGACCACAGUGACCAAUAGGGUUGAAAUAUUUGCUGUGAAGAGACAAUGUUGUCAGUGAUGUCAUCUACACCCCCCCGUCCCCCACCGUAUGUGAUGCCCUCCCGCUCCUCUGUUGCUAUGGGGACUGCUGCAGUCCAAUGGUUUACACGACGUUCCUAAAACCACACUACCGCUGACUAAAUAUCGCCAAUAAUACCACAUUUUCUGUUUUCUACCGUCGUGUUUAGCAUUUAUUACCUAGCUAAACCUCGCUUAAUUCAACACGGACUGAAUUAUUUCGACGUUUUUUUUCCUCACUUCGCGUUUUUACUAAAUUGUCCCUCCGCCAUUGCCGUACUUGUCUAGCUUGCCGUAGCUAAUUUGUUUGUUUGUCGCGGCGAUAAACUUUUAACAACACAACGUUAUUAUUAAUAAUAACAUAGAGAAGACGUUAAUUACCGUGCCUAAAGCGCCCACCAGGUUCAUGGGCUGCAGUCUUAGAAGGGAAGCCCAGACUUCCCAGUCUUUGGCCACGUCUUCCACAGAGACGUUCCCAGGCCAGCUGGGAGACAUCUGCCCCAGGGUCUCCUCUCGGCCCACCUCACCAUGGAGGCAACCUCGGCUGGCUUCUCCUCAAGGAUGACCAAGCUCCUCGCCGUAUCUCUAGGGUAGCGUUUGUUUGUUUGCUACAAGGCGGUGGUGGAUGCUGAAAGGACCUCAGGCCUCGACCUUCACAGCAGAAGAAGCGCUCACAGUGAAUCAAGGUACCUUUUCUUAUCAAAGCCUUCCCAAUACAACGAUGCAUAGUCACGAGGGCCACAGUGAAGAGAGAAUAAGGCAGAAGAGGAGCGCCUCUAGAGGAAAGAACUUGUGAUUCUGACUUUGUCCCAAAGCUAAAUGAACUUAAAGCAAAGUAGAUUUGGUUUGCGGAGUGUCCUCAAAGAGUGUAAACAUUAUUCAAUGGCUCUUUUUCCCCCUCCUCUCCUCAAGUCAGGAAAGAACACGUAAAUAGUCUAAACGGUCACCAAACAAGACAUUGGUCAAUGUAUUAAAAACAGAAAAGACUGUAUCCACUGUGGCAUCAGACCAUAACCCAUGAAAGUCUUCACUGACCACAAUUAUUAGGCACAUGCACACAAUCUGAGACUUUUGGUUGUCAAUGUCUUCAUGUCAUAAUAUGACACCUCCGCUGAACCUGCAGGGCUCUUUACAAGAAGCUCGUUAUCGAGUGUCUCUAAUUGCAUGCUGGAAAAUUAAUUGCAUUAUUGAUGUGCUGUUUGCAAAAUAUGCGCACAAUUUCUGCUACACAUUUCAUAUUGACCGAGUACAGGAACUUUGGAAAUGUAAUAACAAUUGGUUACCUUUUCGUGUCCUCCACCAUCACAUGUGUUAAUUUAAGUUUUGCCUCUAACAAAAUCUUCGGCUUUAGUUAUGGGUUUAUGACUCCACAUGAAUAAAACAUUAAUUACUUGGUGUUUAAUCAGCACAAUUGGUAUCACUGAAAUGAAUGUUUUAAGGGUGCAAGGUCUCAUUUGCCGCUAUUUUUCACUCAAUGAAUGUUGUACAGGUUUUAUUGUAGACGUAGUUAACCUCGAAACCGCGAUGCAGCAAAUGAAGAUAACUCAAACUUCUAAGUAUAAUGCAGUGCAAUACAAGAAUAAAUUAUUUUGAAUUCUAUCGACUGAAUACCAUUGUAUCGCAUCUUGUUACAUGUGCAGGUACUUAAUGUUGUGGUUAGUGAAAUAAAUAUGCAUUUCCAAGGAACCAAGAAACCAAAAAGAAGUACUCUGAAGAAGAUGUACCACAUCUGAAAAUCAGCCAUGCCACACGUCUCGUCGCUUUACAUUAAAAACACAUCAACCUUUCAAGCUUUGGAUUGUUAUUCCAGUUGUUAAUCUGCAGUAUGGCUGCCUUGAAAUAUUACUGCACUGCCUGAUCAUGUACACUUGUUUUAAAUAUGAAGUUUAGCGGACUGUUUUGUAUGCGAUAUGGGUCUCUUCUGUACUGUACCUGCCAGGUUAACGCUACUCAGUAUCUGCAUUAGGUCCAUGGGGAUCUAAAGGACAGAGCCCCAACAUGACAAAACGAUGACCGAAUUUGGUCAUUGCAUUGCAAUAAUGUUGUAUCAAAGUGGAAAUGGUAUUGCAUGCAAGUGGGGCAUGUUAACAGUGGACUGCAGGAGGACACAUAGGAGGAGGCAUCAGGAUAAAAAGAAAAGAUAUCUCAAUAUAAUGUUACAUCUAUAUUGGCACAUUAUCUAUAAACAGUGUACUGGAUGAUGAUCAAGUUCAAUUAGCUACUAAUAUGAGGUCAUGUACCAGUUUGUCUUAUUUUUCACAGUAUAAAAGUGCACUAACCGCCAAAACAUGUCGCCAUUUUCCAAUCGUAAAGCCAAUUCCCUGCCCGCCUGGCCAGAGAUGUUCCUCACACCUGCGUCUCCACACCAUCAAGUUUAGGCAUCAGAAUGCGAGGAGUCACCCCGGAGUUGAGGUCUCUCUCAAACUCCAAAAGCUGGCCCAUGAAGUUUAAAUUUGGGGACACCACAGGGCGACGGCUACGCACGUAUUUGUAGGCGUCUGUCAUUGUCAUGAGGGUGUGCUUCAUUAAGUAGGCGAUGACGAUGGUUGCAGACCGGGACACGCCUGCCUGGCAAUGCACCAGCACUCCCUGUCCACUCUGAUAUGCCUCCUC